UACGUAGGGUGCGAGCGUUGUCCGGAAUUAUUGGGCGUAAAGAGCUCGUAGGCGGUUUGUUGCGUCUAUCGUGAAAACCUGCAGCUUAACUGUGGGCUUGCGGUGGAUACGGUCAGACUUGAGUUCGGUAGGGGAGACUGGAAUUCCUGGUGUAGCGGUGAAAUGCGCAGAUAUCAGGAGGAACACCGGUGGCGAAGGCGGGUCUCUGGGCCGAUACUGACGCUGAGGAGCGAAAGCGUGGGGAGCGAACAGG
rnacentral:rRNA from 1 species